UUAGCUCCCUCUUAUAAGUGAGAACAUGUGGUAUUUGGUUUUCUGUUCCUGUCUUAGUUUGCUAAGGAUGGUAGCCUUUAGCUCUAUCCAUGUUACCACAGAAGACAUGAUCUCAUUCUUUUUUUAUGGCUGCAUAGUAUUCCAAUUGAUGUAAACUCUAACUUAUUUAA